GUACAUUAUUAUUGAUACUUAAAAUGCCUUCUCUUUUCACAUUUACUUACAGGUUAUGGGUGCAUUGGUUGAAGCAGAACAUUGAAUAUCCUAUAUUGAUUGUCAUUGCACACAGAGCUGGCCUGGUGGAGAUUUUAAAUGAGUUUCUAGUUUGAAUAACCCAUGUGAAAGCAAUAUAUGAAAAAGGCAAUAUGAAGGCGCUAUAUGCUUUGAUGCUAAGACUGAAAAAGAGAACAUUCAAUAGAAUGACAUUCUAUUUGCCAUCAGCCAGACUUCAAGAGAUCUCAUUCAUGCAGACCCGGCAAAACCGGCAUAAACCUUAUUCAGCCUUUGAACAAAACAUGGUAAAGCGCGGCAGCUGGUGUUGUGAAUCAGGCCGUGACCGAUAAGAUACCGGCUACUUCACAACACCAGGGUUGUACUGUACCUCUCUCUACUCUUGAAUGUCGUUUGGUUAUCACUCUGCAAGUACUGGAGUCCUCUUAUUCUCAAUGGGAUAAUUAAGUAGCUUGAUGCAUUGUAGAGAUUUAGUGGAACUGAUAAUUUCAUACGCAUUACUUUCACAUCAUCCUGUCAAUCCUCAUCAGUCAUGUAUUUAAGUAGAUCAUCGUGGUGUUAAAAUAAUGAAAUGUGGAAACAUAUACUGUGUGAUGAAACCAAGCUUUGUAAGCAUGUAAAUGUUGAGACUUUUUUUGCAAACAACAUAGAAUUAGUAUUGUUUGGAAUACAUCUUUCAAGAAAUAGAAAAAUGUUAUAUUUCAUCUUUGUAAUGUUCCAAAUAGAAAGACAAUUACAUUACUUACAUGAUACUUCAAACAGGAAAAGGUUUAUUUGAACCCAAUAGAAUAUCUCAAAUCUAACCUGGCAGCACAAUGAGUAAAACAUACUUUGGGUUUUUUUUCUUUGUUUCUUGUUAUAACAUUAUUUCUUAAUAAACAAAAUCCUGAA